rnacentral:rRNA from 1 species
UACGGAGGGUGCAAGCGUUAUCCGGAUUCACUGGGUUUAAAGGGUGCGUAGGUGGGCAAGUAAGUCAGUGGUGGAAUCUCCGGGCUUAACCCGGAAACUGCCAUUGAUACUAUUUGUCUUGAAUACUGUGGAGGUCAGCGGAAUAUGUCAUGUAGCGGUGAAAUGCUUAGAUAUGACAUAGAACACCAAUUGCGAAGGCAGCUGGCUACACAAAUAUUGACACUGAGGCACGAAAGCGUGGGGAUCAAACAGG